AUGAACGCUGGCGGCGUGCCUAAUACAUGCCCGUCGAGCGAACAGACGAGGAGCUUGCUCCUCUGACGUUAGCGGCGGACGGGUGAGUAACACGUGGAUAACCUACCUAUAAGACUGGGACAACUUCGGGAAACCGGAGCUAAUACCGGAUAAUAUAUUGAACCGCAUGGUUCAAUAGUGAAAGACGGUUUUGCUGUCACUUAUAGAUGGAUCCGCGCCGCAUUAGCUAGUUGGUAAGGUAACGGCUUACCAAGGCAACGAUGCGUAGCCGACCUGAGAGGGUGAUCGGCCACACUGGAACUGAGACACGGUCCAGACUCCUACGGGAGGCAGCAGUAGGGAAUCUUCCGCAAUGGGCGAAAGCUUGACGGAGCAACGCCGCGUGAGUGAUGAAGGUCUUCGGAUCGUAAAACUCUGUUAUUAGGGAAGAACAAAUGUGUAAGUAACUAUGCACGUCUUGACGGUACCUAAUCAGAAAGCCACGGCUAACUACGUG
rnacentral:rRNA from 1 species